rnacentral:rRNA from 1 species
AUGGCGGCGUCCUGCACCACCACCUGGCGUUGCGCAUUCCUCGCGCUACUGGUCCUUUUCGUCUCCGGUGCCCACGGGCAGCUCAGCCCGACGUUCUACGCGUCGACCUGCCCGAACCUGGAGGCCAUCGUCCGCAGCGUCAUGAACACUACCGUCGCCAACGAGAAACGGAUGGGCGCCUCGCUGCUCAGGCUCCACUUCCACGACUGCUUCGUCGAGGGGUGCGACGGAUCGGUCCUCCUGGACAACGUGCCGGCUACUCCGACUACUCCGGCUUUCUUUGGCGAGAGGAACGCGUUCGGGAACAUCAACUCCCUACGCGGCUUCGACGUCAUCGCCAAGAUCAAGACCGCAGUGGAGCAAGCCUGCCCGGGCGUCGUCUCCUGCGCCGACAUCCUCACCCUCGCCGCACGGGACGGCACCGUUCUGCUUGGCGGGCCAACCUGGACGGUGCCGCUCGGCAGGCGCGACUCGACGACGGCGAGCAUGGACCUGGCGAACAGGGACCUCCCGCCGCCGUUCGCCAACCUCACCAGUCCUGACGGUAGCGGGCUCAUCGAGAGGUUCGUCAGGAAGGGCCUGAGCGCGGCCGAGAUGACCGUGCUCUCCGGCGCGCACACCAUCGGCUCCGCGCAGUGCCAGAACUACCGGCUCCGCCUCUACAACGAAGCCCGCAUCGAUUUUCAGUUCGCCGAGGGGCUCAAGGCCAACUGCCCCCAAAAUGGCCCCGCCAACGACACCUUCCUGGCGCCGUUGGACUCGACGGGGUCCACCUUCGACAAUAAGUACUACGCGGACCUCACCAGCUUGCGCGGCCUCCUCCACUCCGACCAGGUUCUCUACCCCCAGAACAACCAGACGCAGGUUAAGAUAGUGCUCAAGUACAAAGGAGACAACGCCGCCUUCUUUGCCGAUUUCGCAGCCGCGAUGAUAAAGAUGGGGAACCUCAGCCCGCUCACGGGAACCGCCGGCCAGAUCAGGACCAACUGUAGUAUCGUCAACCGCUGA